GAUGACGCUGGCGGCGGGCCUAAUACAUGCAAGUCGAGCGAGCGGCGGACGGGUGAGUAAUGUCUGGGAAACUGCCUGAUGGAGGGGGAUAACUACUGGAAACGGUAGCUAAUACCGCAUACCAUCAGAUGUGCCCAGAUGGGAUUAGCUAGUAGGUGGGGUAAUGGCUCACCUAGGCGACGAUCCCUAGCUGGUCUGAGAGGAUGACCAGCCACACUGGGACUGAGACACGGUCCAGACUCCUACGGGAGGCAGCAGUGGGGAAUAUUGCACAAUGGGCGCAAGCCUGAUGCAGCCAUGCCGCGUGUAUGAAGAAGGCCUUCGGGUUGUAAAGUACUUUCAGCGGGGAGGCGUUACCGGCAGAAGAAGCACCGGCUAACUCCGUGCCAGCAGCCGCGGUAAUUC
rnacentral:rRNA from 1 species